GACAGAGGGUGCAAACGUUGUUCGGAUUUACUUGGCGUAAAGCGCGUGUAGGCGGCUUGGCAAGUCGGAUGUGAAAGCCCACGGCUCAACCGUGGAAGCGCAUCCGAAACUGCUUCGCUCGAGUCUCGGAGAGGAAGGUGGAAUGCUUGGUGUAGAGGUGAAAUUCGUAGAUAUCAAGCAGAACACCUGCGGCGAAGGCGGCCUUCUGGACGAUGACUGACGCUGAGACGCGAAAGCGUGGGGAGCAAACAGG
rnacentral:rRNA from 1 species